GAGCAGAUGAUGAAAGCAUUAGUAUGUUAUAUACUGAUCCAUGAUGUUUCAAAAUCGAGCUUUUUAAAACUGAUGCUCA
rnacentral:snoRNA from 1 species